rnacentral:sRNA from 1 species
ACAGCUGAUUCUUGGACUGCGACAUAAUUUAAGGCUCUAAGAAGGUGGCUGCACUUGGAUCUCUUACAAAGCAUCAUAUUUUCAAUGAGGAGACCAUUGAAGUGAUGUCACGUGGCUGUUCAUCUGACCUGAGGGAAGAAUGAAAAGAAAGCCCCUGCCCCUCCAAUGGAGCCUGAAGUCCCCGAGAUGUCUCAAAGCAAAACUGAACAUAUGAAAACUCCAGAAGAGGAGCUGCAGCCAGAAAGCUCUCCUGCUGAAACUUCAGCCUGCAAAGAUCCUCUGAAACUUUUAAAGAUCAGGCCAGUCUCCCAGCCCUUCGUGAAUCCAGCUGUGAAGAACAAGGCUGAGGAAUGUGAGACAUGGAUAGACAGGUUCAGGAAGCUGGAAAAUGCCCUCUACCUGUGUGAUCUGAGUAACACAGGAGUUCUGGAGAAGGAACGAGCCAGACGCCUCAUUCACAACUACAAUCUCAUUUACAACCUGUCCCUGAGCCCUCAGAAAAUCGACCAGGCCUUGCGCAGAUUCCGUUCGGGAGAAAAUAUGCUCUUGGAGCCAGCACUGCGGUACUUAAAGGAGCUAUGAUAACAAGCCCAUAUUGUGAGAACAGAUGUUUCCCUUAUCUCCCUUUUUACCCAGACACAUGUUUCUCCCCAGCCUAAGUGUAGUGGCGGAGGCAUUGUCAGAGUGGAGGCCGAUGCAGCUAUUGUAGAUGCUUUUGAUUUGGACUUACUUUCUGGCUAUGAUGCUCACUCAUAAGCAGUUCAAAGUGAUCAGAGGAAACCUAGUUUCAUCUUUUGAUGUGGCAAGAACCCAGCUACUUAGAAUCUCCUUCUGUUUUAAUAAAACUUAUUAUUAAUA